CAGACACAAGAAAUCUAUAUUGGGGAGC
rnacentral:piRNA from 1 species